GCUGAACUUAAGCAUAUCAAUAGCCGGGAGGGAA
rnacentral:rRNA from 1 species